UACGUAGGGUGCGAGCGUUAAUCGGAAUUACUGGGCGUAAAGCGUGCGUAGACGGUUGCGUAAGUCAGAUGUGAAAUCCCCGGGCUUAACCUGGGAACUGCAUUUGUGACUGCAUAGCUAGAGUACGGUAGAGGGGGAUGGAAUUCCGCGUGUAGCAGUGAAAUGCGUAGAUAUGCGGAGGAACACCGAUGGCGAAGGCAAUCCCCUGGACCUGUACUGACGCUCAUGCACGAAAGCGUGGGGAGCAAACAGG
rnacentral:rRNA from 1 species